rnacentral:rRNA from 1 species
AUGAACGCUGGCGGCGUGCUUAAUGCAUGCAAGUCGAACGAGAACCUUUUUGUAGGUAACUACAGAGAGACUUCUAGUGGCGAACGGGUGAGUAACACGUGAGAAACCUGCCCCAAAGACCGGGAUAGCCCAUGGAAACGUGGAUUAAUACCGGAUGCCCUCACGGAAUCGCAUGGUUCUGUGAGGAAAUGCUCCGGCGCUUUGGGAUGGUCUCGCGGCCUAUCAGCUUGUUGGUGAGGUAACGGCUCACCAAGGCACUGACGGGUAGCUGGUCUGAGAGGACGAUCAGCCACACUGGGACUGAGACACGGCCCAGACUCCUACGGGAGGCAGCAGCAGGGAAUAUUGCACAAUGGGCGCAAGCCUGAUGCAGCGACGCCGCGUGAGGGAUGAAGGCUUUCGGGUUGUAAACCUCUUUCAGUGGGGAAGAAGCGCAAGUGACGGUACCCACACAAGAAGGCCCGGCCAACUACGUG